GAUGAACGCUGGCGGCGUGCCUAAUACAUGCAAGUCGAGCGAACAGAUGAGGAGCUUGCUCCUCUGACGUUAGCGGCGGACGGGUGAGUAACACGUGGAUAACCUACCUAUAAGACUGGGAUAACUUCGGGAAACCGGAGCUAAUACCGGAUAAUAUAUUGAACCGCAUGGUUCAAUAGUGAAAGACGGUUUUGCUGUCACUUAUAGAUGGAUCCGCGCCGCAUUAGCUAGUUGGCAAGGUAACGGCUUACCAAGGCAACGAUGCGUAGCCGACCUGAGAGGGUGAUCGGCCACACUGGAACUGAGACACGGUCCAGACUCCUACGGGAGGCAGCAGUAGGGAAUCUUCCGCAAUGGGCGAAAGCCUGACGGAGCAACGCCGCGAGAGUGAUGAAGGUCUUCGGAUCGUAAAACUCUGUUAUUAGGGAAGAACAAAUGUGUAAGUAACUAUGCACGUCUUGACGGUACCUAAUCAGAAAGCCACGGCUAACUACGUG
rnacentral:rRNA from 1 species